AGGCUGUUGUACAGUGGCCUGAUUAUAGCUCACUGUAGCCUCGAAAUUCUGGGCCGAAAUGAUCCGCCUGCCUCAGCCUCCAAAGUAGCUGAGACUACAGUUUAAGUAUAGUGUGCCUGGGCCGGGUGCGGUGGCUCACGCCUAUAAUCCCAGCACUUUGGGAGGCCAAGGCCAGUGGAUCACCUGAGGUCAGGAAUUCGGGACCAACCUGGCCAACAUGUGAAACCCCAUCUCCACUAAAAAAUCCAAAAAUUAGCCAGGCAUGGUGGUGCGUGCCUGUAAUCCCAGCUAUUCAGGAGACUGAGGCAGGAGAAUCGCUGGACCUUGGGGAGGCGGAGGUUGCAGUGAGCUGAGAUCGCACACUACCGUACUCCAGCCUGGGUGACAAAGAAAAACUCCGUCUCAA
rnacentral:lncRNA from 1 species